rnacentral:lncRNA from 1 species
UAUUUAGGACACCGUAUAGAAUGACAUACGAUAUUUUUGUUAUGCAAAUUAAGUCCACUUAGUGGAGUUCGGUGCAUAGGUACGUUGACGUGUCACUCCAUUUUUGAAAGGUUCAGGAGUCAGACGCCAGUAUCGGCCUCCGCAGUUUGGGGGAAACUUUCUGUUGUUUAAUGUGAUUUAAACGUGGUUUUAUGUCCCGCCAGAAAAGAAUCGAAUAAAAUAUACGUUUAACGACGUUAUAUAUCGGUA